UACGUAGGUCCCGAGCGUUGUCCGGAUUUAUUGGGCGUAAAGCGAGCGCAGGUGGUUUAUUAAGUCUGGUGUAAAAGGCAGUGGCUCAACCAUUGUAUGCAUUGGAAACUGGUAGGCUUGAGUGCAGGAGAGGAGAGUAGAAUUCCAUGUGUAGCGGUGAAAUGCGUAGAUAUAUGGAGGAACACCGGUGGCGAAAGCGGCUCUCUGGCCUGUAACUGACACUGAGGCUCGAAAGCGUGGGGAGCAAACAGG
rnacentral:rRNA from 1 species